rnacentral:rRNA from 1 species
AUUGAACGCUGGCGGCAUGCCUUACACAUGCAAGUCGAACGGUAACGCGGGGCAACCUGGCGACGAGUGGCGAACGGGUGAGUAAUGUAUCGGAACGUGCCCAGUUGUGGGGGAUAACUGCUCGAAAGAGCAGCUAAUACCGCAUACGACCUGAGGGUGAAAGCGGGGGAUCGCAAGACCUCGCGCAGUUGGAGCGGCCGAUAUCAGAUUAGGUAGUUGGUGGGGUAAAGGCUCACCAAGCCAACGAUCUGUAGCUGGUCUGAGAGGACGACCAGCCACACUGGGACUGAGACACGGCCCAGACUCCUACGGGAGGCAGCAGUGGGGAAUUUUGGACAAUGGGGGCAACCCUGAUCCAGCCAUGCCGCGUGCGGGAAGAAGGCCUUCGGGUUGUAAACCGCUUUUGUCAGGGAAGAAAAGACUCCUGUUAAUACCGGGGGUUCAUGACGGUACCUGAAGAAUAAGCACCGGCUAACUACGUGCCAGCCGCCGCGGUAA